rnacentral:rRNA from 1 species
GAACGCUGGCGGCGUGCUUAACACAUGCAAGUCGAACGAGAACGGGUUAUAGCUUGCUAUAAUUGUCAGCUAAGUGGCGCACGGGUGAGUAAUGUAUAGGUAAUAUGCCUCUUACUAAGGGAUAACAAAUGGAAACGUUUGCUAAUACCUUACACUCCUUAUUAACUAAAGUUGGUAAGGGAAAGAUUUAUUGGUAAGAGAUUGGCCUGUAUUGUAUCAGUUAGUUGGUGUGGUAACGGCACACCAAGGCUACGAUGGGUAGGGGUCCUGAGAGGGAGAUCCCCCACACUGGUACUGAGACACGGACCAGACUCCUACGGGAGGCAGCAGUGAGGAAUAUUGGACAAUGGGCGCAAGCCUGAUCCAGCCAUGCCGCGUGCAGGAUGAAGCAUCUAUGGUGUGUAAACUGCUUUUGUACAGGAAGAAACCCUCCCACGUGUGGGAGAUUGACGGUACUGUAAGAAUAAGGAUCGGCUAACUCCGUG